rnacentral:misc_RNA from 1 species
AAGGAUCAUUAAAGUAAUAUGGGGUCUGAACUGACCCCUAAAAUCUGAACUUGUGGUAUCAGUGGUCUGGUGUUUGGGUUUAAAAAGGAUGGUCUUAAUGAUGGGAUUUUUCUAGGUAUUUAAAGAGAAAGUAAUUUUUCUGUUUAAGUCGGUUUGGAUGACAAGCCAUUUGGUUUUCUUGUCAUAUAUAUAUCCAAAGAUGAUAUCCUAGGUUUGAGUUAAUGAGUUAAUUCAAUCUGGGACGCCUAGAGAGGUACUUGUAGGCUGUCGACCCAAAAGAAAACUGAGAAAAACUCUUUAUUAUUUUUGACUGAAAUUUAUCAAGUUAAAUCCAAUUUUUGGGUUUAAAAAAAAAGUUUUAAAUAACUUUCAACAACGGAUCUCUUGGUUCUCGCAUCGAUGAAGAACGCAGCGAAAUGCGAUACGUAAUGUGAAUUGCAGAUUUUGUGAAUCAUCGAAUCUUUGAACGCAUAUUGCACUCUUUGGUAUUCCGAGGAGUAUGCUUGUUUCAGUAUCAUGAAAACCCUCACAAGUUUUUUAUUUUGGCUUUUUAUUAAGAAGCCAGAAAAAAAAAAAACUGUGGAAUUGGAUUUGCGAUUCGAAUUAGGAUUGCUAAUCUGAAAUAGAUUUCAUGAAGCCAAAAUGCUUUCAAAUCUUUGCUUAAUAGUUUUGCUUUGCAAAUCUUUUGCAUCGAUUUAAGUGAAAAAAAGUGGAUUGAUUUUUACGAAAAAACCCAAAAUCUCAUUUUUUGAUCUGAAAUCAAGUA